rnacentral:misc_RNA from 1 species
GAUGAAGAACGUAGUGAAAUGCGAUAAGUAGUGUGAAUUGCAGAAUUCAGUGAAUCAUCGAAUCUUUGAACGCACAUUGCGCCCUUUGGUAUUCCAAAGGGCAUGCCUGUUCGAGCGUCAUUUGUACCCUCAAGCUUUGCUUGGUGUUGGGCGUCUUGUCUCUAGCUUUGCUGGAGACUCGCCUUAAAGUAAUUGGCAGCCGGCCUACUGGUUUCGGAGCGCAGCACAAGUCGCACUCUCUAUCAGCAAAGGUAUAGCAUCCAUUAAGCCUUUUUUUCAACUUUUGACCUCGGAUCAGGUAGGGAUACCCGCUGAACUUAAGCAUAUCAAUAAGCGGAGGA